rnacentral:tRNA from 2 species
GACCGGUUAGCUCAGUCGGUAGAGCACAACACUUUUAAUGUUGGGGUCCUGGGUUCGAGCCCCAGACCGGUCA